AUUGAACGCUGGCGGCAGGCCUAACACAUGCAAGUCGGGCGAGUGGCGGACGGGUGAGUAAUGUAUGGGGAUCUGCCUGAUGGAGGGGGAUAACUACUGGAAACGGUAGCUAAUACCGCAUACCAUCAGAUGAACCCAUAUGGGAUUAGCUAGUAGGUGAGGUAACGGCUCACCUAGGCGACGAUCCCUAGCUGGUCUGAGAGGAUGAUCAGCCAAACUGGGACGGAGACACGGCCCAGAAUCCUACGGGAGGCAGCAGUGGGGAAUAUUGAACAAUGGGCGAAAGCCUGAGGCAGCCAUGCAGCGUGUAUGAAGAAGGUCUUCGGGUUGUAAAGCACUUUAAGUUGGGAGGCGUUACCAACAGAAGAAGCACCGGCUAACUUCGUGCCAGCAGCCGCGGUAAUUC
rnacentral:rRNA from 1 species